rnacentral:lncRNA from 1 species
UACACAAGAUACAACAAGUGAAAUAAAAAGAGUACUUUACUAACUAUUACAUUAGUUCGUUCUUUUCAUUUACAUCAUUUUCUUUAAACGAAUACAUUUUUCAUCCAAAAUACAUAGUUCUCCAAAUCCUCACCUACAAGGAAUCUCUCUCUCAAUACAUAGGCGACUAAUGCAAAAAGGAAAGCUACUAUACUACCACGGUCUCACUGAUCGGGCGCGAUGCCCUUGCCGCGGUCCUCUCUCUGCAGCC